rnacentral:lncRNA from 1 species
AGAAGGGGCAGCUUAACUCCAGCUAUUCCAUUUCUUUGAAAAAGAAAGUGAUAAAAUGUUGCCAUGGGCUUAUAAAAAUAUUUGGCAAUGUACCUCCCAAGAAACAGCAAAGAAACUUACAAUUUUUUCUACCGAGAAAAUAAAUUGAAGGCUCAGAAAACUAGGAAAUAGAGUGCUUGACCAACUUUCUCCAAAGGAAGGAAUAGAUAUUCAGUUGAUUUACUGUGGUCAAGCGUUGGGAGGAGAAGGUACAAGGAUGAGAGGGAUGGGCAAGGACAGGAGAGGUGAAUGCUGGGAAGCUGGACGGCAGGAGGGUGAGGACACACGCAGGGACCGCAGGAGUGGGGGCCCCGGGGAAGAAAGAUGGGAAAAGAAUGACUUGACAGUGAUGACAUCUGGCAGAUGCCACCUUCAUCAUAAGGCCACAAUUCAUACAAGCCAUGGGACCAGUCGAACCCAUUCACCACCCGGUAGGACCCAGCGAGGAGAGCAUGACAUCAUUUUUGUGAUACUUCUGCCAGGAAUGUGUAUCCUGAAUCCAGCCAGAGGAAACACUAGACAGACCCAACGUUCUACAAUUUGCAAUCAUCUAAAGGGCAUGAGACCAGGGAAAGACUGAGAAACUGGUUUUGAAGAAAAUCAAGGAGACUUUGAGAACCAAACACGACACGAGAUUCUAUACUGGAUCCCUUUAGUAUGAAGGACUUUAGUGGGACAAGUGGUGAAACUUGAAGGGUAUUGGGGACUGGAUGGUGGGGAGGGCUCUGUGCUAAUUGCGCAGGUAUCAAUUCUUCUUGCCUCAGCUUAUCAAUCAAUCCUUACCAAUAAUUAGUAAGACUGCAAAAUGAAAUUAAACAGUUUCCUUUACAUUUUCUGCCUACUGAGAGCUGUAAAACAUGAUGAUGAUAAAGCAAAUAGAAAAAUAAUGUUAGUAAAAGAUGGAAAUAUAAAAGCAUAUUUGGAAGAAAUUAUUCAAUGGAGAAUAAGAAAUGAGAGAAAUAUGUUCAGUGGUGGAAUAGUGC